CAUUUCAGUGUUACCAAAAAUGGCAAAAUCGUCACUUUGAUAAUACCAAAAAAAAUGCAAAACAACGAUAUGAAAAUACACUAUACUAUCGUAGUCAUUUAGGGCUUGUUUGAUUCACCUAUUUUAGACUAUUGAAUUGGAAUAAAAUUUAUUGAUUUUGAUAGUUGUUGUUUAUUUUAUAGGAAUUGGAUUUCGGUUCCUAUUUCACUCUGAAAUGAGAAUGGCCAAAUCUAUUUAUAGCUCAAUCCGGUUUUGAAUCCCGAUCCAAAAUAAAUUAUUUAAAAUUCUCUUUCACCAACACCUACCUCCUCUUCCUUCAUCAUUUUUUUCUUUCUUAAUCAAAACCUUCUCUCAAAAAUUUUAAAUUUUCAUACUGCUUUUCAUUCCAAUAAUAAACCAAAUAUUUUUGAAUAAUUCGUGAUUCCAUUUUUUAUUCCAAAGCAACUCAAUUUUAUUUUUCAUUUCUAUUCCAAUUAUAAACCAAACAUGCCCUUAAUAUACUUAAAAGAUUUUGUAAGUCGCGUGCCAAAUAAGAACACUUAUAUAUAGGCUUUAUUUGGAUGCAUGAAUAUCUUGAUUGAUGUAUGUCAUUUAAUCAAAAAAUUUAUACACUCGAUUGAUGAGGAGUCUGAUCAAAUUUUUAGAAUGGAUAUCAUAUUCGGUUUUUUUUUUUUUUAUUUUUUACAAUAAGGUAAAUCACUUCAUAAAUGAAAUAUGCAAUUCUACCAAAUUAUAAAUAACAAAAUUUGUUGAAGAAACAAAAAUAAAAUUUCUUACUUUCAAUCAUACUAAAAAAAUAUUCGUACAAAAUAAAUAUUUUUGAAUAACUUAUUUUAACAUCCAAACAGGACGGUAGAGAUGUCGGGAGAAUUUACUACCAUUGGACAGCAAAGAUGAUCCACCCCAUGUUACUUAAUGACAAAGUUGUUUAAUGUAUCAUAAUUAUUAGUUGGCACACAUAUAGAUCCAGAUUUUUUUUUUUUUUUUUUUUUUUUUUUUUUUUGCGUAGCAAUUAAGUCACUUGCGUUAUUCAUUUUUUUCAGAAAUAAAUUUAGCUAGAAAUGUAAAGUAACCAGACUUAAUUUGAAUAUGAGAUUUCAUGUAUUAAUCAUCAAGUUAUUAGCCAACUAUGCCAGAUACAUUCGGUAUAAAUUUAGAUAUUGUUAGUUCUAUAUAGCAUAUAAAUAACAAAGCUAAACACAUACCGACGAUCGAUUGUAAAUAAUAAAUCAAAAUAACUUAAAAAGCGCCGUUAAGAAGA
rnacentral:lncRNA from 1 species